rnacentral:rRNA from 1 species
AUUGAACGCUCGCGGGAUGCUUUACACAUGCACGUCGAACGAGUGGCGGACGGGUGAGUAAUAUAUCGGAACGUGCCCAGUAGCGGGGGAUAACUACUCGAAAGAGUGGCUAAUAACGCAUACUAUUGGCGGGGCCGCUAUGGGCUUAGCUAGUUGGUGGGGUAACGGCUCACCAAGGCAACGAUCCGUAGCUGGUUUGAGAGGACGACCAGCCACACUGGGACUGAGACACGGCCCAGACUCCUACGGGAGGCAGCAGUGGGGAAUGUUGGACAAUGGGGGAAACCCUGAUACAGCCAUCCCGCGUGUAUGAGAAGGCCUUCGGGUUGUAAAGUACUUUUGGCAGAGAAGCGUUAUCUGCAGAAUAAGCACCGGCUAACUACGUGCCAGCAGCCGCGGUAAUAC